rnacentral:rRNA from 1 species
AUGUUGCCCUUUUCCCCACAGCAGAAUGUGGAAUGCCGGAAUCAGACUGUCGUUGCCACUGCUCAUGCCCUGUUGAAACAAAGGAAGUUGCCAGCAAAAUUUUGGGGGGAGGCGGUCACAACUGCAGUUUUCCUGCUGAAUCGAGCCCCGACCAAAAGUAUGGCUGGCAUGACGGCCACGGGAGGAAGCCUGCUGUCCAGCACCUGCGCACCUUUGGGCGUGUGGUGUACGUCAAGGACGUACGCCCUCAGCUUCGCAAGCCCGAUGAUUGCAGCUCCGCCAUGGUCUUCAUCGGCUACGACGAGCGCGUCAAGGGCUACUGCACAUACGAACAAGCAUGUCCAUAUCACUUGUGAUGUCAUCUUUGAUGAAGAGGCCAGCUGGGAUUGGACGGCCGUGCAGUGA